UCGGAGUGCGCAGGCGCGAGUCCGGAGGCGCAGGCUCCCGGGACAGCAGCUCGGCGUCCCUGGGCUAAUGGCUUGCCGAGCGAGAAGCGGACUGCGCGGCGACCUUCUUCCGGCGACCCUUACCCAGCCCUUCGUGAGUCUGUCGAUGCCCACCGGGAGAGGAGAGAAGGGGCAGACAGCCUUGGCGAAGCCUCGCCGUGCUCCUCUGAAAUAAAGGAAGGCCGGAGGAGUCCCUUGCGAAGUUGUCAGAAGGAGCAGAGGAGGUAGCGACACACCGGAUACACGUUCUUUUAUAGAGAAACUGAUGACUAGAGAAUAUCAAGAAACUGAAGCUUCCCAGAGCUUCCUGGCACCAGAGUCCACCAUCUGCCACAGAGACAAACAGCCAAGGACACCCAUCUGUGAAUUCUCUUAUCUCACUCAGCAGAUAGCCUCACAAGGCCAAAUGCAGACUGGUGGGAAAUCACGGGCAAUCAAGGCUACAGGCCCCCCUCUGCUACCUAAAACCCCAAAUAAAAACCCCUACCUGGUUUCUCAACAGGGAACUAGCAAUUCUUAAGGCAUUAGCCAUUGCUUUGCUCCCUCUGCCUGGCAAAGAAAAUAAAGUCUUUCCUUUCCAUUCAA